UCAUAUCAGAAGUAUAGGAAUGAGGAUGUGUGAUUUAGAUUUUCUCUACAUAUUAAUAAAAAGUAGAUGUCCCUCACUCCCAGAACGGUGAAUGCAGUGCAGUCAGGAACAUAAACGUAGAGAUGCAGGUUACCCUAAAAGUUAAAGGGUCUACAGGAGUCUGCAGUAAACACUCCCAGGGACCACCCUAGAGUAUCAGAAUAUAAGGAUUAGGACCCCGACAACUAAUCAAGCCCAAAGAGUAAAAUAGGCAAGAAUGAGACCAGCACAAUUGUCACCUCCCCAAAAAGUAUCGACCAGCACAACCGCCACCUCUCCCAUAAGCAUGAGACCAGCACAACCGCCACCUCCCCAAUAAGUAUCGACCAGCACAACCGCCACCUCCCCAAUAGGUAUCGACCAGCACAACCGCCACCUCCCCAAUAGGUAUCGACCAGCACAACCGCCACCUCCCCAAUAGGUAUCGACCAGCACAACCGCCACCUCCCCAAUAGGUAUCGACCAGCACAACCGCCACCUCCCCAAUAGGUAUCGACCAGCACAACCGCCACCUCCCCAAUAGGUAUCGACCAGCACAACCGCCACCUCCCCAAUAGGUAUCGACCCGCACAACCGCCACCUCCCCAAUAGGUAUCGACCCGCACAGCCGCCACCUCCCCAAUAGGUAUCGACCCGCACAACCGCCACCUCCCCAAUAGGUAUCGACCCGCACAACCGCCACCUCCCCAAUAGGUAUCGACCCGCACAACCGCCACCUCCCCAAUAGGUAUCGACCCGCACAACCGCCACCUCCCCAAUAGGUAUCGACCCGCACAACCGCCACCUCCCCAAUAGGUAUUGACUAGUAGGACCGCCACCUCCACUACGUAUGGUUUCUUCCGGGGCAUGAGCUGUGGAUGGUACGUAGUGUAUUUUAUUCAGAGAGAGAGAAUGGCAGCUCACCUUUGAGCGGUGGAGAGCACGGACAUGCUAAGGCUGCACCAAGUAGAUAACCAACGAAAAAAGCCAGGAAUAGAAAGUAUUUGUCAGACAUCCCACAUGUUCAAACACACAAUGCUCCAGCGGCUCCAUGCACUUUGUCACAUUUCUCAAAGUUGAUACCGCCACGUGUUAUACAUGGAAUUCAGCGUGUCACUGGGGGUUAGAAUUAUUCCAUCAUACCAGGAAAAUACAUAGAAUUAAAUCUAAAGAAAAGAUAAAAGGUGUCCACAGCCUUACUGACCCCAUCCCCAAUAAUCCUGACAGACAAUGGCGGUGAUUGUACACAUACCUCCACCUGCACCGCUGGACAUUACAUGUAUGGGGGAGGGAGGAGACUAGUGGGCUUAAGGACCUUUCAUGAUGUCAUGACCAUGUGACCAUGUGUGGGAGGGGUCCUCCAGGCUGUGCUGUUGAAGGAGGGAAAGGACCUGUGAUGAUGUCAUGAACAUGUGACUGUGUAUGGGAGGAGUCUGGAAUCACAUGACUGGGUGCUAUUCAGUGUAUUCAGGACUUUGUUGUGCUGGUUGUGAUCGGUGCUGGAUGACCUGAAGUGUUGCAUCGGGAUGUAGUUACAGAGUGUAUGCAGUGGAGCUGUCUCUGUCUCCUACAAUAUAGGAUCCGCUCAGUGGAGAUCUUCUAUAUCAGAUCCUUCUCCUGAUUGACCCAUCAAGAAUGGACGGGGACAAGAUGGCGGAGAGUAUAAUAAAUCUCACCCUAGAGAUUCUCUUCCGGCUUACUGGAGAGGACUACACAGUAGUGAAGAAGACCUCUAGUGAGGGCUGUCAGGCCCCUGUGUCUGAAGGAUGGGGAAGAACCCUGAGCCCAAUCACAGGGCCUCCACCUCAACCCCUGAUACAUAAGGAAAUCAAUAGAGAGAAGAUCCUAGAACUCACCAACAAGAUGAUUGAGCUGCUGACUGGAGAGGUUCCUAUAAGGUGUCAGGAUGUCACAGUCUAUUUCUCCAUGGAGGAAUGGGAGUAUUUAG